GCUCCUGAGAAUCCCAAUAAGCUCUGUUUUAUGCCACACCAAGCUCAUAAGUGGCAUGAGCAGAAAAGCGCUGAUAAGGGAUGGAGGAUGGCAGCAUCAGAAAACAGAGGUAGCUGAUGAAUGAGUAGCUGUGAAAGGCAAGAGCUUCCUUUCGUGAGAGGAAAGGAAGCCAGGAGCAACCCCAUCCUGAUCACUGAACUACUAGCCCAUUCUCAGUACAGAGAGCAAGAAGAUGGCUUGACUCAUGAGCAAACAGCCAGGCAAAGAGUCUUUGGAAGCCCAUCUACAGAAUAUGGGGGAACAGCUUCCCAUGAAAACACACCUUUCCUGAAGCACCCAUCCUCCACUCAUCCCUCGACCCAGGGCAUCUAUCAGCCUGGCAUAAGAAUGUGCCGAUGAAUCAUGCCAGGGUUAAGUUUCAGUGAAUUUUAUAGGUAAGCCUUGUAACUGUGGGCUAAAUAUUGGUUCCUAAAGCUGUGGCCCUUAUUUAUUUUAGUGGGAGCUUCUGGGUGUUCAGCAUGUUGGGAAUCUUUCAUUUAUUUUAGUGCCUAAAUAUGAAUUUAGGAAUCUUACUUGAGAUGUCUAUUUUUGAAAAUCUUGGCCUAUGACAGCAGCCACUGGAGUCAGUAGAUACUUACUGUGAUGGGGGUCCCCCAUAAGGAUUUAUGGAAUGUGCUUAUGAAUGUAUAUAUGACAUAACUGGAAUAUGUUUUAGGCUACAUGUCUC